rnacentral:lncRNA from 1 species
GGUGUUAUACAUAAGGUGAAAAAGCAUACCAAACAGGUAUAAAUAGAACACACUAAAUUAAUCCAUGCAUUAACUUUCCAAUACACUAUACCAAACGAGCCUUAAUUGUAGGAGAAUCCCUGACCACAUACAAGACUGCUUGCUUCCACUCCUCGAUAUCUUUAUCAAAUUCCUGUUUGUUGAGCUCAAUGACCUUCUCCCCAUUCUUCAUAACCGGAGCUACAUAAUUGAGACUCAUUUCCUUAGCUGACAUUCCAUUGGAACCAAAGAAAUUGACCCAUUUCUUUGUCGGCUCUGAAUCGAGAUCUAACUUCCUCUGAGCAUGUUUGGAUGUUUCCUCUUCCAUCUCAUCUAGUUCUGUCAGCGACGCUACUGGACCCUUAGGCCCUAUUGUCAUCACCAGUGGCACUACACCAGUAGAUUUAGGGGUUACUUCUUUCAAAGGCGGUCAUUGCUCCAUAGGGACUUUACCAUUCGUCGUAUUUGACCUUGCAGUACUCUUCCCGACACCUGAUUUGGCUUUGCAGUCUCAAUCCCCUUCGUGUGUGGUCUUCCCUGUGCCAUUUUCCGAUCAAGGUGCGGACGUUAGCUAGUCACGCUAACAUGCAUCGAGGGCUUUUGAAAAUCUAUGCAUUUUCACGGAUUGAUAAUUAUAUAUAGAGAAAGAAAAGAAAAAAACUUAGACUAGUCUUUGAUGAGAACAAUUUAAAGUUCUUUUGGUUUAAAACGAUUAACAAUUUCUAAAGUAAAAACUAUCAUAUUUAUUCCUCCACUAUUGAAAAAGAUUUAAUAUAAUUCUCGAUUACAUUAUCA